rnacentral:rRNA from 1 species
UACGGAGGAUGCAAGCGUUAUCCGGAAUUAUUGGGCGUAAAGCGUCCGCAGGGGGCCAUGUAAGUCUGCUGUUAAAGAGUCUAGCUCAACUAGAUAAAAGCAGUGGAAACUACAUAGCUAGAGUACGUUCGGGGCAGAGGGAAUUCCUGGUGUAGCGGUGAAAUGCGUAGAGAUCAGGAAGAACACCAGUGGCGAAGGCGCUCUGCUAGGCCGUAACUGACACUGAGGGACGAAAGCUAGGGGAGCGAAUGGG